rnacentral:ribozyme from 13 species
AAAGAAAUGUGAAAAUUAGGCCGCAUUAUCUCAUCCUAUCCUUUUUAGGUUUCUUCUUUUCCUUUUUCAUGGCCUUCUUCUCCUCACUCUCCAUCUGCGCACUUU